GCGCCCUUAGCUCAGUGGAUUAGAGCGACUGGCUACGAACCAGUAGGUCGGGAGUUCGACUCUCUCAGGGCGUACUA
rnacentral:tRNA from 1 species